rnacentral:SRP_RNA from 1 species
CGAACGCGGCAGCGCCAAGCCGGUCAGGGCCCGAGGGAAGCACUUGGAGGAGGCGGUGCCCGCUCUGCUGCCCCUGGCGACGCAGU